GGGGGCGACAGGUUUCGACGGCGUGUUUGGAGGGUCUGGAGGAGCAGGUCGAGUUACGUCCGUAAUUCUCGCUAAACAUUCGGGCAAGACGAUAAACGUCGAAGAUAACUACGCCUUGGCGGCUUAGGGCCGUCACGUCGAGGGAUGCGGUUAGUCUACUGACUCACCUGAGGCGUUACAUUAGGUAGAUGCUCCAUCCGCUGCUCGGCUUCACUCGGGUGGAAAAGACAAGGAGCCUUGGAACGAGAGGGUUGUUUCCUGCCUGAACUCGAACGACAAUCAAACGGAAACUAAGCCUGUAGCGCCGCCACGACUGACCCACGUCGGACAGGGGUUCGAUUCCCCUCGCCUCCACCA
rnacentral:tmRNA from 1 species